CUGCUUUGCAAUAGAACAAAGAAGAAAAAGUUUAAACUAAAAAGCAUGAUCAAAAGAUCUGUUUAGCCCAAGGAGUGUCUGGAUUAGUAAGGAUACACCAAACACAUUUGGCCAUAUUUCUAUUAGCAAUGAAAGAAAUAGAAAGAUAACCUUUCCUCAGGAAAGCCCUGAUUCUGUCAUCCACUUUUUUGAGAACUCCACCAUAAGGAGAAAAUAGAAAGAAGAGUAGGGAGGGU
rnacentral:lncRNA from 1 species